GCCUCGGUGUCACGUGGGCUGUGUGUCGAAGGUCACAGCGCUCACAAUGGAGCUGUCGGAGUAUGUGCAGAGCGGCUUGCAGAUCCUAGCCGAUUCUGGCUGCUUUUCUCCUAGCGCCUACACGGUUCUGCUCCAGACGGCUUUCCAGAGCCUGCUCAACGCCCAGGCGGACCAGGUAGCUCUAGAUCACCCAGUCUUGAAACAUAUUGACCCAACAGUAUUAAAACAUUGCCAUGCAGCAGCUGCAACUUAUAUACUGGAGGCUGGAAAACACAAAGCCGACAAAUCUACUAUAAGCACAUAUCUAGAAGACUGUAAAUUUGAUAGAGAGAGAAUAGAACAAUUUUGCACCGAAUAUCAGAAAAACAAAGAUACGUUGGAAAUCAUAUUGGGAAGGCAGAUGUCCUCUGCACAUAACCGAUGUUUCUUGGCGCCUGGAAUAUCAAAUCAAGGUAAUCUUACCACAUUAGGAAACUUUGAUUUGAUUUCCUUCUCUGUGGUAAUGUCUGAUUUUUGUGUGUGUUUUGUUAUCACUUUAGACCAACCAACUUCAUAAAACUUAUCGACCUGCCUAUUUGGUGACCUUAAAUGUGGAGAACAGCGACUCAAGAUCACACCCUGACGUUAGUUUUAGUUGCACUAUGGAACAAUUACAGGAUUUAGUUGGAAAACUAAAAGAUGCAGCAAAAAGCCUAGAAAGAGCAUCUCAGAUGUGAUCGAAGGAAAUUGACAAUCCACCGGGUUCAAGAGGAAGAAAAGUGCACUGACUCCUAACAGUUUCUUCGUAGGGAACAUGACGAAUCAAUUUUCUUCUUUCUAAAACUAUCAUGUCGUCACACACUUAAACCUUAUUGCUUAUGUAUCAGCUAUUGAAUCUGAGAAAGUCCCUAUUCUAGGAAGUGUAACUACUCUUUCUGUGCAGUCAAAUGUAUGUUUUGUUAAAGUCCUGUUUUCUUAUCACAACUAUUCUUAUGUCAGAGUGCUAGAUAAUUGAUUUGUCUUUAAAAUAUUCACUUUAUUUUACUUUGUGCUUUCUUCUGAAAUAUUAUUUUUCUGAUUUUUUUCCACACAUUAUAAUAAAAUGGAUUAAUUUCUUCUCUCUA